CUUUGCACACUUUUUUUGUUACAAACUAAGGCACAAGCCCACACAUUAGCCUAGGCCUACACAGGGUCAGGAUCAUCAAUAUCACUGUCUUCCACCUGCACAUCCUGUCCCACUGGAAGGUCCUCAGGGGCAAUAAUGCAUGAAUCGGUUAUCUCCUGUGAUAACGAUUCCUUCUUCUGGAAUACCUUUUGAAGGUUCUGCCUAAGGCUGUUUUACAGUUAAUUUUUUUAAUAGGUAGAAAAAGUAUACUCUAAAAUAGUAAUAUAAAGUAUAAUAUAGUAAACACAUAAACCAGUAACAUAAUUGUUUAUCAUUAUCAAAUAUUAUGUACUGUACAUAAUUAUAUCUGCUAUAAAGUCAAACACCAGAUAAUGGCAUUUUGGUCUACAAUGAACCAUGUGUACAAUGACAGUGGUCCCAUAAGAUUAUAAUGGAUCUUAAUCAUUUCUAUUGUCUAUUGAUGUUAUAAUGUCACAACACACUUUAUUUUUUAAAUUAAUUUAGUGUAUCCUAGGUGUACAGUGUUGGUAAAGUGUACAGUAUCAUAAAGUAAUGUCCUAGGCCUUCACAUUUACUCAGCACUCACUCACUGACUCACUUAGAGCAACUUCUAGUCAUUGAAGCUCCAUUCCUGAUAAGUGCCCUAUACAGGUGGACUGUAUUUUUAUACCAUAUUUUUACAUAUAAUUUCUAUGUUUAGAUACACAAAUAUUUAUAAUUAUGUUACAUUUACCUAUAGCAUUCAUUACAGUAAAAUGCUGUACAGGUUUGUAGCCUAGGAGUAACAGGCUAUAUCGUAUAGCUUAGGUGUGUAGUAUACUUUACCAUCGAGGUUUGUGUAAUUACACUCUAUAAUGUUUGCACAAUGCCAGUCACCUACCAUGAUGUAUUUCUCAGAACAUAUCCCGUUAUUAAUUGAUUAUACUUUUAUACAUCAUUAAUGAUACUUUUAUGCAAGUGGCAGUGCAUUAGGUUUGUUUACACCAGCAGCACCACAAACAUGAGUCAUGUGUUGCACGAUGACAUUACCAUAGCUGUAAUGUCACUAAGCUCUACUACAAUGUUAAGGGACAACCAUUGUAUAUGCAAUCCAUUGAUGACCAAAACCACAUUUUGUGGCAUAUGAUUGUACUUAAGUUAAAGAAGGAAUCUAUUAUCUAAUUCUGAGAAGAAAUUACAAAAACGUAUAAUGUUAGUAAUUGAAAAGAUAAUAGAGAUUAUCUAGUUCAGGGAUAAGCAAGUUACAGCCUGUGGAUUAAAAUCUUUUUUGCCUAUAAAGGUUUAUUGGAACACAGAUACACUUACUCAUUUACAUAUUACCUAUGUUUGCUUUCAUGCCACAGAGGCAGAGUGUAAUCGUUGAGACAAGGAUUAUAUGGCUCACAAAACCAAAAAUGUUUACUUUCCGGCUCUUUAUAUAAAAUGUUGGCUGCCUUGGGUUUAGUUUAGCCUUUUAUUUUUGUAGAUAAAAAUUGGCCCUAAAAGACAGAUUUUCGAAUCACAGAACCAUUGCAUUACUGAGCUUAAAAUAAAGUGCAAGAUAAUUUGUAUUUGUAUCUUUUUUUUGUAGACUAAUUUACAAUACUUGAUUUUUGUGUGUCAGAUGGAGACAGAUAGAUAGAUAUAUACACUACUUGAACUUUGGUUUAUAGUGAAUGCUCCACUCAAACUCCCCUUCAGAAAAGGACUUAUUUCCCCAACUACUGGAAGCUUUGCCAGAAGAAAAGCUUAAUUAGUUAGAAACCUACAGGAAUUCAGUUGAAAAGAGCUGCCUCAUUGACCAAGAUCACACCUGCUUCGCAGGUGGUCAGCCAGAAGUGGGUAUAAAAGUCUGUCCCCAUGAACUCAACUCAGGGCAACAUUGAAGGGAUUUUUCUGCUAUACAUCUCCUCAUGGAUGGGCUAAAGAGCUUUCAUUGUGGCUCAAUUUCUCUCAGGACCUAACUUUUUGAUUCCUUUCUUUCUUACUCUGUCCUUCCACGGGUAUUGAUCCCAAGAACAUUUUCUAAUAAGCCUCCUGCUGGCUGCUUCCCAGGGAGCACAUCCUGGAUAAACUACCAUUAACAAAAUAAAGACUAAGAGCACUUCCAAUUCAGCGUCUGAGGAUCAACUCUCAAAUCGUUAAUUCAACAGCGCCUAGUUAGUAAAGAUACACUACCUUUCAUAAAUGUCAGCUUUUCCUGUUUCUUUGUUGAAAGGUUUCAUUAGUUGUUGGUGGAGCUCAUUUUCUGAUGUGAGCUAAUGGUACAAUUAUUGGAGCUAAUUCCUUCAGAAGAUAAAUUCUAGAAUGCUGCAAAUUGUGGAAAAUCUUUCUACCUUUUAUACUGGUAAACAAGAGAGACAUCUUGGCCCCUUUUAACCACCAUGUUGCUAACAGCACAGUGAUUAAUGAAAACUGAGAACAGAUCAUUGUAAUGGUGGAGGAAGGAGCUCAAUAACGUCCCCACUGCCCACCAGCUUGCAGUUUAUCCUUUGUGUCUUUUUUUUUCAGUCUUUUCUAUUUUAAGCCUUUAACCAUACAGAGAGAGGAAAAAAAAAGGUGAUUAGCUUAAAUUUGAUUUAAAUUAUGGUUUUACUUAGAUACUAAUGAUUACUGAUUCAACUUAAGUGAGAAUUAAAGGGUUUAAACUACUGAAGUGUGCAAUAAUAAUGGAAAGUCUGCUUGAGGAAAAAAAUACAGGUUAUUGUUUUUAUUUCUGCUAUCUUCUGACAUUUUUAGUGGCUUAUGCCAACUGAAUGGCUUUACAAAGUGAAACUAAACAAAUAAAAGUGAAUGGGGAUAUAGAGAGAAAUGCUUAAGUAUCCCUGUCAAAGACAGAAUGAUGAACUAUUAUAAAUAUUUGGCAUGUUCUGUAAAUAUGUGGCACUCAAUCAAAAGCCAUUUAAACCUUGAAAGGACAAGAAACAUAAUGAAACUGAAUGAGACUAUUUCAGUUUUACCUGUUUUCUUAGAAUGCUUUAUUGUGUUGUUUUCUUUUUCAGGUGUCACAUGGUAGUCUCCAGCAGUCCUAGGUUCCCAUUGUCCACAGUGAGAAUCCACUGGUAAAGGAGCAUUCUUCUCUUCAUACAUGCAGUGAAUGUCUAAUUGGUUCUAAUUGGGUCAUAUGCUCACCUCAAAUUAAUCAGUGGAAUUAGGGGAUGAAAUGCUGUGGGAAGGCCAUCUACAAAUAUGUAGGACCUACUUCAGCAGUAGAAAGGAGGCUUGCCUUCAAAGCAAGACCAGGGACAGAAAGUCCAUCUUUUGAACUGAGUAAAGGGGCAUUCCUAUAACUGAUCCAGGGAAUGUUAAGACUAGGCUUAGAACCAAAAUGUUAUUUAGUAAACCCUCUCAUUUAGCAAGAAUUCAUAAAGCUCUUAUAAUUUUCUGAGUUGUGGAGGUGAGGGAAACAUCUUUUGUUAUUUAUAAUAUUACCUUUCAACCAUGCCUGAGUUUAUGCCAAUGAGGUGACUCUUGGUGGAUCCCUGCCUAGCUUUAGGCUAAGGACUGGUUACCAGAGGAACCAACCAUGUUAUUAGAACUCCAGGGAGGGCAGAAGGGUGGAGAUUGAGUUAGUCACCAAUGGUCAGUGAUUUAACUAAUUAUGCAUAUGUAAUGAAACCUUCAUUAAAAAAACCUAAACAAGGAGGUUCAAAGACCUUGGUUGGUGAAUACAUCCACAUGCCAGAAGGGUGGUGCAGCCAAACUCCACAGGGAUAGGAACUCCUGUGCUCAGGACCCUUCUGGACCUCGUCCCAGGUACCUCUUCAACUGGCUACUUAUUUGUAUCCAUUAAGAAUAAAUUGGCUUGCUAGACUUUCUCCAGGGUGCCUGGUCUAGUUUCCUCCUGGAUUGGUAGCUUUUGAAGUGAGACAUAAAAGCGUCUGGCUUUUUGAGGUUAUGAUGCUCCAGUCAGCUGUGGCUGAAGUCUUUGAUCCUGGCCAUUUUUCGCAUGAUUCAAAGUCCCCACAGCUCACAUGCCUUUAUUUUUAACCCCAGGCCUCUGCUGGUGCAAAAACUUUCUUAACACAUCUGUGUUUCCUUACUGGACACAUGGACACUUCUGGGUCCCUUUCUCCCAACUUCCAGCACACAGAGAUCAGAAUGACUUCCAGCUCACCUGUGUAGCUGCUUUUUGCCUAUUUUACUGCACUAUUACCCUGCAAUUUUGGGAGAAGUGGCAGUCUGUGGAGCAUCUCCUAAAGGCCUGAAAGUGGGCCAAUACCCCUCAAUCCCUCAGGUUCCCCAUAUAGCUAAUUCUUUCUACUCCUGUAUCUAUGAGUUCAUCCUCUGGAGGCAUUAAUUCCUGCACGUUUGACUUAGAGCUGCCUAUGUCUCCUGUCUCUUCCCAUAAUCCAUGGGACCAAAAGUCUUUGACUUUUGCCAAAUCCUUUGAGUCUGGUUGGGAUCCCCCCCACCGCCUCCAAUAAUAUUCUGUAUUUAUGUUAGCCAGGGCUACCUCUUUUUAUGAUAAAGGAGUUUUACAGUUUCAGGUCUAUACUUAAAUCUUUAAUUCAUUUGAGUUGAUUUUUAUAUAUGGUAAGGUAGACAAAUUUUGCAAUGAUUACUUUCUGGCAAUCAGAAUCCUGAAUUUCAUUUUCUGCCAAGGAUUGUUACAACUACACACGAACUACAACUAGAAGCUGAGUUGCAUCAUGCAUACCUAUUGUGAGAAAGCUGUCAUUUUGAACAUUUGCAGCUAUUUGGAAGCUUUUAUUUUCCAAAAAUAUGUACUUUUAUAGCUUCAUUCUAGCUAUUAAUUUUCUAAGUUUUUGCUUUGUCCAUUGUUGUUAUUAUUGGGAAUAACAUUUUUUCUUGGGUGGGAAUUUAUUUUAUGUGAGUUUGAUUUAUAUAUUCUUUGAAGAUUCAAAUCUUUGGGUUGAUAGCCCAUAAUUUGUUUAUUAAGAGACAAUGGAUAUUUACAGAAAUAAAAUGAUCAAUUGCCAUGGAGAUGAGCAUAUCACCAUAGCAACUUACAUCAUGUAUGUGUGUAUGAAAAAUUCUGAGGGGUGGGUCAGGAAGAUAGUGUGUUUGUGUGUGUUUUUUGAAUUCGCAAAGGCUGAAGAAGUCAUUUAUCUUCUUCUAAUUAGAGACUAUCUUAGCAAUUUGUUGAAGAAAUAGAUUAACAGUCACCUUGUCAGUUUGAGUGUUUUGCUCUGUGUUUAAAACAUACUCAUUCUAUAGAUUAGUUCUUCUCUUGCUGAUCCACUGAUAAUAUCCUGAUAUUUUGGAGUUCAUAAAUAGCAUUUCCAAUUAUUUGUACAGUGGGUCAGCUUAAUUAAUAAUAAUAAUAAAACACUGCAGGGCAUUCCGAACACCGUAGGACACAAAGAGAAUAUGAUAGAUAGAGAAUAGACAAUUAAAUUUCUGAGAUAAAAUGGAGACAGGGACAGUGACACAGGUAGAUACCAACAAAAAAAUUAAAUUUCUCAUCCUAGUUAAAUUUUACGUUUUAACGAUCCCAAACUUAGAAUUAUAUUGAGAAAUACAAAAGUGGUGUAGAUUAUGUUCACAAUUAAUAAGCCCCCUUUCCUUCCACUUGCCUGUAAGAAUAUUGAUUAUACAUCUUUGCAUGCUGCCAUGUGACUUCAAUGCACAGAAAUAUACCCCCCAUUACUUUGACUUUGGGCUAGGUUUGUAACCUGCUUUGACCAUUGGAAUGUGAGUGGAGUUCACCAAUGCUAUGUGGGAGCAGAAGCUUUAAGAGACAUUGUGGUGCUCUGCCAGCCCUUUACCUCUCUUUUUCUUUGCACAAAAAUGAUGUCUCAAUCCUCUCAGCCUGAGUCCUGGAAUAGAGGAUAUGUGGAGCACAGUCCUUGCAAUUCUCAACCACCAUUAUGUACUCUGGAAUAAUACAUAUUACAUAAGCUACUUUGUUUUGCUUAUGAUUGCAUAUUUAGCAGAUAUACUAAAGUGACUGACUAAUUUAUGUUGUUCAGUCAUUUCUCAUCUCUCCUCCCUCCGCCAUUCUUUACGUCCUUUCGGUAGAGCUGACUCCACCCCAGCACUGUGGCUUAUGCUGGAUCGACCAGAGUGUUGCUUUCUUCAUAUGGUCUAUUGAGACAAUAAAACCUCAGCCGAAAUUGUUGGAAGAGACCCAUCACAUCCCUCAUUGCUACCUGGGGACAGAGAGUGGAAUAAAAGUUGGUCCUGCUGCAGCAACUUGCAUCAAUGAAGAGAGAGUCAAACUAAGAAGAGCUGUUAAAUCAAGUAGUAUCUGAAGCCAUUAACCUUCAAUUAUGGGAAAUAAAUAUUUUCUAUUCUUGCAACCUAU
rnacentral:lncRNA from 1 species